UGCCUAUAUUAACAAAAAAUAGUAACAAACGUUUGAUAAAAAUACAGUUCAUUAUGUAAGUGUCCCCAACAAAACAAACGUCGUACAUAAUCAAAGUUUAUAUUUAAAAACCUCAACUUAGGGUCUCACUCAGCUAAACAUCUUUAUACACACAGUUUGGUGGAUCUUGCAUAGGGAAAGCUCCCUUUGUACGAAAUACUCACCGGGCGUGUUUUAGCAUUACCGUGACCACCGGUUCCCUACCGGGUCCCACCGGGCCCCGCCGGGCGUGUUUUAGUAGGACCGCACAAUGUUGCACGUUGCUGGACUUUAAACUUCGCCUACAUUUGAUGGCGUUAACAUUAUAUAACCUGAACAUGUGUCGAAAUCAUUCAAUUGAAAGUGAUGAUGAAAUUCUGAAGGCGAUUUUACUGCUAAAUAAACUACUGCCAUCAGUAAAUAUUAAAAAGCAGAAAUCAGGAGAGCAAACAGUUGUGAUAUUGUUAGGGGUGAGUUUAAUUAAUCAUGUGUGGUUACAGUAGAUGCGGAGUCAUUUGCAAAAGAGAAGCCCCCAGGAAUGACUACCGUUUCUUCUAGCUGUGGGAAAAGGGAGAAAACCUGAUGAGUAUUUUCUUAUUUCUGAUUCUACAGAAAUAACACUUGAGACAAGACGUUUUGACUGCAUUUUACCGACUUUUUUUAUCGUUCUGGGUGUUUGAUGUACAUUAUUACUACUGUAAAUUAUCUUCUUUCUACAACUUUUGGGACUGCCUCUUACUAAGAAAAAAGCCUCAUUGUACUGUUCGGUCCUUGCUUGCUGCAUUAGAUUUUGUCCACCAGCUUUUUGAAGCAACCGCCGUCAAA